GUGCUCUUUGAUAGCACAUAUUCUAAAAUUAGAACAAUACCAAGAUUAGCCUGGCCCUAUGCAAGGCUGACAAGCAAAUUCAUGAAGCAUUCCAUAUUUAA
ensembl:snRNA U6 U6 spliceosomal RNA